rnacentral:rRNA from 1 species
GGGUUGUGAGGUUAAGCGACUAAGCGUACACGGUGGAUGCCCUGGCAGUCAGAGGCGAUGAAGGACGUGCUAAUCUGCGAUAAGCGUCGGUAAGGUGAUAUGAACCGUUAUAACCGGCGAUUUCCGAAUGGGGAAACCCAGUGUGAUUCGUCACACUAUCAUUAACUGAAUCCAUAGGUUAAUGAGGCGAACCGGGGGAACUGAAACAUCUAAGUACCCCGAGGAAAAGAAAUCAACCGAGAUUCCCCCAGUAGCGGCGAGCGAACGGGGAGCAGCCCAGAGCCUGAAUCAGUGUGUGUGUUAGUGGAAGCGUCUGGAAAGGCGCGCGAUACAGGGUGACAGCCCCGUACACAAAAAUGCACAUGCUGUGAGCUCGAUGAGUAGGGCGGGACACGUGGUAUCCUGUCUGAAUAUGGGGGGACCAUCCUCCAAGGCUAAAUACUCCUGACUGACCGAUAGUGAACCAGUACCGUGAGGGAAAGGCGAAAAGAACCCCGGCGAGGGGAGUGAAAAAGAACCUGAAACCGUGUACGUACAAGCAGUGGGAGCACGCUUAGGCGUGUGACUGCGUACCUUUUGUAUAAUGGGUCAGCGACUUAUAUUCUGUAGCAAGGUUAACCGAAUAGGGGAGCCGAAGGGAAACCGAGUCUUAACUGGGCGUUAAGUUGCAGGGUAUAGACCCGAAACCCGGUGAUCUAGCCAUGGGCAGGUUGAAGGUUGGGUAACACUAACUGGAGGACCGAACCGACUAAUGUUGAAAAAUUAGCGGAUGACUUGUGGCUGGGGGUGAAAGGCCAAUCAAACCGGGAGAUAGCUGGUUCUCCCCGAAAGCUAUUUAGGUAGCGCCUCGUGAAUUCAUCUCCGGGGGUAGAGCACUGUUUCGGCAAGGGGGUCAUCCCGACUUACCAACCCGAUGCAAACUGCGAAUACCGGAGAAUGUUAUCACGGGAGACACACGGCGGGUGCUAACGUCCGUCGUGAAGAGGGAAACAACCCAGACCGCCAGCUAAGGUCCCAAAGUCAUGGUUAAGUGGGAAACGAUGUGGGAAGGCCCAGACAGCCAGGAUGUUGGCUUAGAAGCAGCCAUCAUUUAAAGAAAGCGUAAUAGCUCACUGGUCGAGUCGGCCUGCGCGGAAGAUGUAACGGGGCUAAACCAUGCACCGAAGCUGCGGCAGCGACGCUGAUGCGUUGUUGGGUAGGGGAGCGUUCUGUAAGCCUGCGAAGGUGUGCUGUGAGGCAUGCUGGAGGUAUCAGAAGUGCGAAUGCUGACAUAAGUAACGAUAAAGCGGGUGAAAAGCCCGCUCGCCGGAAGACCAAGGGUUCCUGUCCAACGUUAAUCGGGGCAGGGUGAGUCGACCCCUAAGGCGAGGCCGAAAGGCGUAGUCGAUGGGAAACAGGUUAAUAUUCCUGUACUUGGUGUUACUGCGAAGGGGGGACGGAGAAGGCUAUGUUGGCCGGGCGACGGUUGUCCCGGUUUAAGCGUGUAGGCUGGUUUUCCAGGCAAAUCCGGAAAAUCAAGGCUGAGGCGUGAUGACGAGGCACUACGGUGCUGAAGCAACAAAUGCCCUGCUUCCAGGAAAAGCCUCUAAGCAUCAGGUAACAUCAAAUCGUACCCCAAACCGACACAGGUGGUCAGGUAGAGAAUACCAAGGCGCUUGAGAGAACUCGGGUGAAGGAACUAGGCAAAAUGGUGCCGUAACUUCGGGAGAAGGCACGCUGAUAUGUAGGUGAAGUCCCUCGCGGAUGGAGCUGAAAUCAGUCGAAGAUACCAGCUGGCUGCAACUGUUUAUUAAAAACACAGCACUGUGCAAACACGAAAGUGGACGUAUACGGUGUGACGCCUGCCCGGUGCCGGAAGGUUAAUUGAUGGGGUUAGCGCAAGCGAAGCUCUUGAUCGAAGCCCCGGUAAACGGCGGCCGUAACUAUAACGGUCCUAAGGUAGCGAAAUUCCUUGUCGGGUAAGUUCCGACCUGCACGAAUGGCGUAAUGAUGGCCAGGCUGUCUCCACCCGAGACUCAGUGAAAUUGAACUCGCUGUGAAGAUGCAGUGUACCCGCGGCAAGACGGAAAGACCCCGUGAACCUUUACUAUAGCUUGACACUGAACAUUGAGCCUUGAUGUGUAGGAUAGGUGGGAGGCUUUGAAGUGUGGACGCCAGUCUGCAUGGAGCCGACCUUGAAAUACCACCCUUUAAUGUUUGAUGUUCUAACGUUGACCCGUAAUCCGGGUUGCGGACAGUGUCUGGUGGGUAGUUUGACUGGGGCGGUCUCCUCCUAAAGAGUAACGGAGGAGCACGAAGGUUGGCUAAUCCUGGUCGGACAUCAGGAGGUUAGUGCAAUGGCAUAAGCCAGCUUGACUGCGAGCGUGACGGCGCGAGCAGGUGCGAAAGCAGGUCAUAGUGAUCCGGUGGUUCUGAAUGGAAGGGCCAUCGCUCAACGGAUAAAAGGUACUCCGGGGAUAACAGGCUGAUACCGCCCAAGAGUUCAUAUCGACGGCGGUGUUUGGCACCUCGAUGUCGGCUCAUCACAUCCUGGGGCUGAAGUAGGUCCCAAGGGUAUGGCUGUUCGCCAUUUAAAGUGGUACGCGAGCUGGGUUUAGAACGUCGUGAGACAGUUCGGUCCCUAUCUGCCGUGGGCGCUGGAGAACUGAGGGGGGCUGCUCCUAGUACGAGAGGACCGGAGUGGACGCAUCACUGGUGUUCGGGUUGUCAUGCCAAUGGCACUGCCCGGUAGCUAAAUGCGGAAGAGAUAAGUGCUGAAAGCAUCUAAGCACGAAACUUGCCCCGAGAUGAGUUCUCCCUGACUCCUUGAGAGUCCUGAAGGAACGUUGAAGACGACGACGUUGAUAGGCCGAGUGUGUAAGCGCAGCGAUGCGUUGAGCUAACCGGUACUAAUGAACCGUGAGGCUUAACCUUACAACGCCGAAGCUGUU